UAGGGAAUCUUCCGCAAUGGACGCAAGUCUGACGGAGCAACGCCGCGUGAGUGAAGAAGGAUUUCGGUUCGUAAAACUCUGUUGUUAGAGAAGAACAGCGCAUAGAGUAACUGUUAUGCGUGUGACGGUAUCUAACCAGAAAGCCACGGCUAACUACGUGCCAGCAGCCGCGGUAAUACGUAGGUGGCAAGCGUUGUCCGGAUUUAUUGGGCGUAAAGCGAGCGCAGGCGGUCAAUUAAGUCUGAUGUGAAAGCCCCCGGCUCAACCGGGGAGGGUCAUUGGAAACUGGUUGACUUGAGUGCAGAAGAGGAGAGUGGAAUUCCAUGUGUAGCGGUGAAAUGCGUAAAUAUAAGGAGGAACACCGGUGGCGAAGGCGACUCUCUGGUCUGUAACUGACGCGGAGGCUCGAAAGCGUGGGUAGCAAACAGG
rnacentral:rRNA from 1 species